rnacentral:rRNA from 1 species
UACGUAGGGGGCAAGCGUUGUCCGGAAUCAUUGGGCGUAAAGAGCGCGUAGGCGGCCCUGUAAGUCCGCUGUGAAAGUCAAGGGCUCAACCCUUGAAUGCCGGUGGAUACUGCAGGGCUAGAGUCCGGAAGAGGAGAGUGGAAUUCCUGGUGUAGCGGUGAAAUGCGCAGAUAUCAGGAGGAACACCGGUGGCGAAGGCGGGUCUCUGGGCCGAUACUGACGCUGAGGAGCGAAAGCGUGGGGAGCGAACAGG